rnacentral:lncRNA from 1 species
AUAUCCCGUUUCACCUGCCAAGAAAUGUCCUGAAGCCUCUCUUGCACUCAUGAUCCCACGUUUGAAACUCACUCUCAUAACUACAGUCGACAAAAGAUAUUACCAUUUACUAUUUUCCUCGAGAGUUGAAUUCCAAACUUGGAAAGACCUAAUCGAAAAUCAUGAUUAUGCGUAUAUGGAUCUCGUGGCAUAUCAGAGUUGUAUAGACAAUUACGGAUUAAUUCCAAGAUUGAUUAGUCUGAACAACACAA